CGGAGCAUGUGGUUUAAUUCGAAGCAACGCGAAGAACUUACCAGGUCUUGACAUCCUCUGACCAUCUGAGAGAUCAGACUUUCCCUUCGGGGACAGAGAGACAGGUGGUGCACGGUUGUCGUCAGCUCGUGUCGUGAGAUGUUGGGUUAAGUCCCGCAACGAGCGCAACCCCUGUGGUUAGUUGCCAUCAUUUAGUUGGGCACUCUAAGCAGACUGCCGUGGAUAACACGGAGGAAGGUGGGGACGACGUCAAAUCAUCAUGCCCCUUAUGACCUGGGCUACACACGUGCUACAAUGGUCGGUACAAAGGGUUGCCAAGCCGCGAGGUGGAGCUAAUCCCAUAAAACCGAUCGUAGUCCGGAUCGCAGUCUGCAACUCGACUGCGUGAAGUCGGAAUCGCUAGUAAUCGUGAAUCAGAAUGUCACGGUGAAUACGUUCCCGGGCCUU
rnacentral:rRNA from 1 species